CCAUGACUUGCUCUCUGUGAACAUUUCCGUGACCACCUGUUGGAUUGUGAUGUGCUGUUCAUAAGGACCUUAGGGGGAUUAUUCAAGGUCCUCAACAGUCACUCAACCACUCAUCUACAGUGCAGGCAAACCAGGGUGGAUGGAAGGACAUGUUGGUAGUCUUCAGUUGGCACAUGACGAUAAGGUCUCUCUCCCAAUCUCAGGCUCCAUAUUCGCACAUGCCUCAUUGGAUGUUCACCUUGAGCAGCUGUCGAGUUGCCUCCCGCAGCCUUUAGAUAGACAGAGACAGAGCUGUCUGGGCCAGGACUGCCUUCUGCUGCUUCAUCCAAUGUGUCAGUUUGGACUGCAGCCAGCCGGAGAAUGGACUUGGUGCAUGAGUGAGUGUUUAAGUGUGUGUGUGUAUGUGUGCUUGGAUUAGACGAUACAGCAAAAUUACCACUUCAGGUUCAAUAGUAUUACAGUUAUUAAGCACGUUUUUAUCACCCGCUUUAUCGGAUUAGUGUUCAAUGAUCCAGACAGAUUUUUCUAUUGUAUAUUUAUGUUUCUUGUCUAUGCACCAAAACACCAAUGCAAUGUAGUGACAA